rnacentral:lncRNA from 1 species
CUUUUACAGUGAGUAUUCAUGCCCCACAUAAGGUCCCACGUUCUCUCUCUCUUUCAUGAGAAAAUAAGGUGGUCUCCUCCUCUUUUGGUCACCAAAAAGAAAGGAGGGGCAUCCAAGAGAUGGACGCCCCAUGUCCCAUGCGGCUAGGCUUUCUUCCCAACCCCUUUUGAAAAAAAUUUGUAAGGCUUUUAUUGUUGAUUCUUAGAUGUCAAAGAGGACUUCUCUUGCUGGUUUUAUAGCAGAAAAUUGGAGAAGAAAAGUUCUUCCCCA